UUCGCUUUUGCCUGGACCCCUGAGUUGGGCGGCAGUCCAGAGAGUCAUGGCUUCCAUCAUAAAAGCCAGAACCACAGCCAGACCAGCUGCGCUCACUUCCAGCCCAGACAGCACCAACACAGCUAGCCUCUAAUUCUUCAACUCCUGGGAUUCAAAAGAAGCUAAAAUGACCUCUGACCCCGUUUGAAAAGGAAUGUAGAUGUGGAAUGAAUGAAACUGUUUGUCUAUUUAUCCUCUAUUUAUACUCAUGUGCACUGUAGUAUAUCUGUUAUUUUUUACAUUUCUUUUAUUCGUUUUUGUAAAUUAAUGUAUGUGUUGAACCAAGUCCUUUGCCUUUUGGUAAUUUCAGUGUUUUUCUAAAUAAAUAUAAAAUCAAUGGAG